rnacentral:rRNA from 1 species
UUCAAAUAUUCAAAAGAGAAAAUCGCUUUAAAUUGAGCUUAUAUAGGAUUAGGUAGUUGGUUUAAAGGUAAAAGCUUACCAAGCCGAUAAUCCUUAAUUGAUCUGAGUAGGAUGAUCAAUCACACUAAGACUGAGAGAAGGCUUAGACUUUUUAAAAGGCAGCAGUGAGGAAUUUUGGACAAUGAGUGCAAACUUGAUCCAGCAAUAUAAAGUGAAUGAUAGAAAGCCAUUUUCGGUUGUAAAGUUCUUUUAUUAAAAAAUAUUAUGACUUAUUUAAUGAAAAAACCCGAGCAAAUUUCGUGCCAGCAGCUGCGGUGAUACGAGACGGGUUAGUGUUAUUCAGAAUUAUUGGGCGUAAAACGUGUCUAGACUAC